rnacentral:rRNA from 1 species
AUGGCUGAGGUCACAAGGGAUAUACAAGGAGAUAUCCCAUGGUGUAUGCUCUUUGCGGAUGAUGUGGUGCUAGUUGAUGAUAGUCAGACAGGGGUAAAUAGGAAGUUAGAGUUAUGGAGACAAACCUUGGAAUCGAAAGGGUUUAGGCUUAGUAGAACUAAAACCGAGUACAUGAUGUGCGGUUUCAUUACUAUUAGGUGUGAGGAGGAGGAGGUUAGCCUUGAUGGGCAGGUGGUACCUCAGAAGGACACCUUUCGAUAUUUGGGGUCAAUGCUGCAGGAGGAUGGGGUAUUGAUGAAGAUGUGA